CUGAGGCGUGACGACGAGGCACUACGGUGCUGAAGCAACAAAUGCCCUGCUUCCAGGAAAAGCCUCUAAGCAUCAGGUAACAUCAAAUCGUACCCCAAACCGACACAGGUGGUCAGGUAGAGAAUACCAAGGCGCUUGAGAGAACUCGGGUGAAGGAACUAGGCAAAAUGGUGCCGUAACUUCGGGAGAAGGCACGCUGACACGUAGGUGAAGUGAUUUACUCAUGGAGCUGAAGUCAGUCGAAGAUACCAGCUGGCUGCAACUGUUUAUUAAAAACACAGCACUGUGCAAACACGAAAGUGGACGUAUACGGUGUGACGCCUGCCCGGUGCCGGAAGGUUAAUUGAUGGGGUCAGCGCAAGCGAAGCUCCUGAUCGAAGCCCCGGUAAACGGCGGCCGUAACUAUAACGGUCCUAAGGUAGCGAAAUUCCUUGUCGGGUAAGUUCCGACCUGCACGAAUGGCGUAAUGAUGGCCAGGCUGUCUCCACCCGAGACUCAGUGAAAUUGAACUCGCUGUGAAGAUGCAGUGUACCCGCGGCAAGACGGAAAGACCCCGUGAACCUUUACUAUAGCUUGACACUGAACAUUGAGCCUUGAUGUGUAGGAUAGGUGGGAGGCUUUGAAGUGUGGACGCCAGUCUGCAUGGAGCCGACCUUGAAAUACCACCCUUUAAUGUUUGAUGUUCUAACGUGGACCCGUAAUCCGGGUUGCGGACAGUGUCUGGUGGGUAGUUUGACUGGGGCGGUCUCCUCCUAAAGAGUAACGGAGGAGCACGAAGGUUGGCUAAUCCUGGUCGGACAUCAGGAGGUUAGUGCAAUGGCAUAAGCCAGCUUGACUGCGAGCGUGACGGCGCGAGCAGGUGCGAAAGCAGGUCAUAGUGAUCCGGUGGUUCUGAAUGGAAGGGCCAUCGCUCAACGGAUAAAAGGUACUCCGGGGAUAACAGGCUGAUACCGCCCAAGAGUUCAUAUCGACGGCGGUGUUUGGCACCUCGAUGUCGGCUCAUCACAUCCUGGGGCUGAAGUAGGUCCCAAGGGUAUGGCUGUUCGCCAUUUAAAGUGGUACGCGAGCUGGGUUUAGAACGUCGUGAGACAGUUCGGUCCCUAUCUGCCGUGGGCGCUGGAGAACUGAGGGGGGCUGCUCCUAGUACGAGAGGACCGGAGUGGACGCAUCACUGGUGUUCGGGUUGUCAUGCCAAUGGCACUGCCCGGUAGCUAAAUGCGGAAGAGAUAAGUGCUGAAAGCAUCUAAGCACGAAACUUGCCCCGAGAUGAGUUCUCCCUGAGACUUAGAGUCUCCUGAAGGAACGUUGAAGACGACGACGUUGAUAGGCCGGGUGUGUAAGCGCAGCGAUGCGUUGAGCUAACCGGUACUAAUGAACCGUGAGGCUUAACCUU
rnacentral:rRNA from 2 species